UUCAGUGGCUUAUUCUUUUUUUUUGCAUUUUACCUCUGAUUUUCUAACCUCUGCUAUAGACUUGGAUUCAAUCUUCUCUAAGACCAACACGCCAAUUUUCUGCUUGAAUUCAAGCCAUCAUCUCUGUACAGUGAGAGAUGCCUUAGGUGAAAUCUGAACACUGAUGAGUCUCAUAUAAGAUCCAUAGACCUCUGUGCUACUCCGAGAAGCUGGGGGCAGUGGCUGUCCUGCUCAUUUUGCCUCUCCUGUAACACACAGCUUGUUAUGGAUCUCUGCAUCUGCUUCCAUCGGUCACUGAAGAAAAGCUCUGUGAUGACAGUUGAGCAGGCUUUUUGGAGCACACUACCUAUGAUGGGACACAUCGCACAGCCUUGAGGCAGAGGGAGGGCCUUGGACUUGCCUCUACUGGAUG